UACGUAGGUGGCAAGCGUUUGUCCGGAAUUACUGGGUGUAAAGCGCGUGUAGGCGGCAGGCCAAGUCUGCGGUGAAAGCGCCCGGCUCAACUGGGCGAGGUCCGUGGAAACUGGUCAGCUGGAGGACGGUAGAGGCGAGUGGAAUUCCCGGUGUAGUGGUGAAAUGCGUAGAGAUCGGGAGGAACACCUGUGGCGAAGGCGGGUCUCUGGGCCGAUACUGACGCUGAGGAGCGAAAGCGUGGGGA
rnacentral:rRNA from 1 species